CAUGAGAGAACCCUAAGAAGACAGCAACAGAGGGCCAGACGCGCCCCUGGAACUGGACCCUGGACUGGGGCGGGAGGGCCACAGCCUUGGGAGCCCAGGUCCCUGCCCGCGCCUCCGACAGUCCCGCGCCGCCGCCACCCGGCAUCUGCCUCUGGGCCUCCACAUCUCGUGCCUGGAACCGCGUUCAUUGCGCACUGCACCAGUAAACACCUGAACACUCCCA
ensembl:lncRNA novel transcript, antisense to ZNF696